rnacentral:rRNA from 1 species
UACGUAGGGGGCUAGCGUUGUCCGGAAUCAUUGGGCGUAAAGCGCGCGUAGGCGGCCCGAUAAGUCUGCUGUGAAAGUCCAGGGCUCAACCCUGGAAUGCCGGUGGAUACUGUCGGGCUAGAGUUCGGAAGAGGCAAGUGGAAUUCCUGGUGUAGCGGUGGAAUGCGCGAUAUCAGGAGGAACACCGGUGGCGAAGGCGGUUCGCUGGGAAUGACCUGACGCUGAGGAGCGAAAGUGUGGGGAGCGAACAGG